rnacentral:lncRNA from 1 species
AAAAACCUAAGUGAUGUUUCUCAAGGCAUCAAGAGCCACCUUGAGAGAGCUGGUUGUGCUGGCACACACCUUUAUGCUCAGAACUCAGGAGGCAGAUGCAGCCAAGUAUCUUUGAAGUCAAGGACAACCUGGCCUAUAUAAUAGUGAGUUCAAGUCCCGCCAGGGCUACAAAAGUGAAACCUUGUCUCACAAACAAAACAUCAAACCUGGUGACCUGAACCUUGUGACCAAUAAACAUUUACUUACUAACUCUUUUGUGACAAAUUCCACAGGCAGCUGAGGACUCAGCCCAGGUGAGGCUUCCGCCUGAAAGAUGAGCUAAAGCCAGAGGGAAAUUCCAUCCAGGACCUCACAUGUGACUCGUUCCAAGGGCUCUGAAGACAGGGGCCCUCUGGUACUUCUCUCUCCUGGAUAUUGUCUCCAGCCUUAUCUAGGCCAACAGUAUACACAAUACGGGGUUAAGGACAGCUACAGCGUUGCAGAGGGGUCGCGACCAGUGUUCAGAACUGCUCUUGUACGUUGAACGCUGAACUUUGUCCUGCGCUGCACUGUCCAGUGUGGAUUCUGGGGGAACCAGUGACGUGUGCCUCUAAGCACCCCUGGGUUUGCCCUUGUUUCAACCUCAGAGACAAUGGAAGUUCUGCUCCAAUCAGAGACUGACUCCCUCCGAGUUAAGUCCUCUCUGGACCACCCCACCUCCCUGCUCGGGUCAUGUGCUUCCCCCAACGCGUGUCCUGUUCCCUGCUCAAGGGUUGUCAGGCUUUCAUAAGAUAACUCCUGUGGUUAUCACUCAUCCAGAUUCUUACAGCCAGCUGCUCAAAGCUUCCAGAUAAUACACACAAUACUUACUUCUGUUUUCAAUUGCUGAUCUUCAAAAUAAAAUAAAA